rnacentral:rRNA from 1 species
GACGAACGCUGGCGGCGUGCCUAAUACAUGCAAGUAGAACGCACAGUUUAUACCGUAGCUUGCUACACCAUAGACUGUGAGUUGCGAACGGGUGAGUAACGCGUAGGUAACCUGCCUGGUAGCGGGGGAUAACUAUUGGAAACGAUAGCUAAUACCGCAUAAUAUUAAUUAUUGCAUGAUAAUUAAUUGAAAGGAGCAAUUGCACCACUACCAGAUGGACCUGCGUUGUAUUAGCUAGUAGGUGAGGUAACGGCUCACCUAGGCGACGAUACAUAGCCGACCUGAGAGGGUGAUCGGCCACACUGGGACUGAGACACGGCCCAGACUCCUACGGGAGGCAGCAGUAGGGAAUCUUCGGCAAUGGACGAAAGUCUGACCGAGCAACGCCGCGUGAGUGAAGAAGGUUUUCGGAUCGUAAAGCUCUGUUGUAAGAGAAGAACGGGUGUGAGAGUGGAAAGUUCACACUGUGACGGUAUCUUACCAGAAAGGGACGGCUAACUACGUG